GGGAAAAUACGACUAUAUAAAGAAGUGCACCAAUUCGAACAUGCAGUACUGAAAUUGGUAGAACAAUCAUGUAAUCAAAGAGCAGAAGCAUGCAAGUAAGAAAUCAGAAGCAGUUAGGGUUUAAACAUGUAGCAAGCAAUUUCACAGUAAAGAUUUAACUCGAAAACCCUAGAAAUACCACAGUAAAGAAAAUACGUAGAGCCAUAGUGGAAAAUACUCAAAAAUCACAGUAAAGUUUAAAGGAAAUCACAAUAGAGCAGAUAAAGCAAAUAAAUUGAAGAAACACUAAAUUUUAGGAAGACGAACAGUUUGAACACAAAGUCGGCGAAGAAAUGUGAGAAAUACUUUGAAACUUCAGAAAAUAACUAGGAUCUAGGGAAGAUCAUAAAUAAAAACACAGAGAAAACCUUGAGAAUUAGGGGUUUCAGAGAGAGAACCAUAGAGACACGAGAAAAGCCUGGAACAGAAUGUUUCUAAGUCGACAAAGGACUCACAGCAUCAAGGCUUGCCGGAGAGAGACCGGUCACGGUUGUAGAAACUCAAGUCGAUGGACCUUUGAAUAGUUGUCUUCACAAUACGGUUUCAAUCCUCGAACAACAGGGUCGUAGAAGGGAUUGAUGAGUGAGUGCAAGUAGAGUGAAGCCUGGAUAGUCAUAGUUUCCAGUGGAAAGAGGUCAGAAAGUGACCGGAGGUGGCUACGGUUUCAGAUAGGCUUGGGAGAAUUUGAGAGAGGAGAGGGAUACAAG
rnacentral:lncRNA from 1 species